rnacentral:rRNA from 1 species
UAGGGAAUCUUCGGCAAUGGACGAAAGUCUGACCGAGCAACGCCGCGUGAGUGAAGAAGGUUUUCGGAUCGUAAAACUCUGUUGGUAGAGAAGAACGUUGGUGAGAGUGGAAAGCUCAUCAAGUGACGGUAACUACCCAGAAAGGGACGGCUAACUACGUGCCAGCAGCCGCGGUAAUACGUAGGUCCCGAGCGUUGUCCGGAUUUAUUGGGCGUAAAGCGAGCGCAGGUGGUUUAUUAAGUCUGGUGUAAAAGGCAGUGGCUCAACCAUUGUAUGCAUUGGAAACUGGUAGACUUGAGUGCAGGAGAGGAGAGUGGAAUUCCAUGUGUAGCGGUGAAAUGCGUAGAUAUAUGGAGGAACACCGGUGGCGAAAAGCGGCUCUCUGGCCUGUAACUGACACUGAGGCUCGAAAGCGUGGGGAGCAAACAGGAU